rnacentral:rRNA from 1 species
UACGAAGGGGGCAAGCGUUGUUCGGAUUUACUGGGCGUACAGGGAGCGUAGGCGGUUGGAUAAGCCCUCCGUGAAAUCUCCAGGCUUAACCUGGAAAGUGCAGAGGGGACUGUUCAGCUAGAGGAUGGGAGAGGAGCGCGGAAUUCCCGGUGUAGCGGUGAAAUGCGUAGAGAUCGGGAGGAAGGCCGGUGGCGAAGGCGGCGCUCUGGAACAUUUCUGACGCUGAGGCUCGAAAGCGUGGGGAGCAAACAGG